rnacentral:rRNA from 1 species
CAGUCGCCGCGGUAUACGUAGGGUGCGAGCGUUAAUCGGAAUUACUGGGCGUAAAGCGUGCGCAGGCGGUUCGUUAAGACAGAUGUGAAAUCCCCGGGCUUAACCUGGGAACUGCAUUUGUGACUGGCGAGCUAGAGUAUGGCAGAGGGGGGUAGAAUUCCACGUGUAGCAGUGAAAUGCGUAGAGAUGUGGAGGAAUACCGAUGGCGAAGGCAGCCCCCUGGGCCAAUACUGGCGCUCAUGCACGAAAGCGUGGGGAGCGAACAGGAUUAGAGACCCCAGUAGUCCCUGUCUCCUAUACC